rnacentral:lncRNA from 1 species
CUUGGCCAAACUCCGCUCGCGGCCAAGUUGGCCACCUUCGUGGUGGGGGCUGUCGCGCACCCAGGCGCCUCGGGCCGUGGGGAGCUUCGGAGCCUUCGCGGCUCCCCGGACGCGUGCGGAGCCUGAAGCCGGAGGGUCGGGAGGGCCCCGCGGCGGACCCCGCAAAGCCAGCGGGGGAGCCACGGUGAGGCAGCGCCCGGGCGGGCGUGCGGGGACGCUGGAGCGGUGCUCAGCACACAGCCUGGGGCCCUGAGGAUUGGUUAGGGCGCCCAUGAGGGGAUCCCCAAAGUUCCGAGGGACCCUUCUCCACCCCUCCAGGGACGGGAAAGGACAGCGGGCUCAGCGUGAGCUGGAAACGAAGGACAAGCUGCCCGUAUAAGGUGGAGCUGAGUCCUCGUGGCCCCAGGGGCCACUGAAGGGUAGAGGCGCAGGUGUAGAGCGCCAACCAGGAAUGUUUCCGGAGUGGCCCACGUCCUGCCAAGGAUGGCGAGUCCCCGGGGCACGGAGCAAAGCGCACCCUGGCGGCGUCGGUGUGCACUGACACCCAGGGCCUCUUGGCGUCCCUCCUGGUGUUGGCGGCGACAGCCCAGGCGGGGGUUUGGUCCCUCAGAGCCUCCCUGGCGCGGACCCCAGGCUUCCCAAGAGUCAGGGAGGAGGACUCUGGUGGCAGCUUUUUCUACAAUGUCAUGGUCUAUGGUGGAGACCUAGACACGGUCUAUGGUGAGGACCAAUGCCAGAGUCAAGGUGCCAGGGGCCAUGGUGGCAUGGCAGAGUGAAUCUCCUGUGGAGCCCCUGUGUGGGGACAGAGUCCCCGAGAGUAGUUUCCAGGCUCUUGGUCUCAGGUGGAAAGGUGCUGGCUCGGGUAAUAGAUGGCCAUCCGCUGUGACUGGUUGGCCAUCAGCUGUAACCAGUUAGCCAAUUAGCCACUGAUAUAACUGCCCUGUCGGCGUUGGUUGGUUGCUUGGUUGGUUGGCUGGCAGAGAAGCGGACCUGCAGAUUGGGAUCAUGUGGCUCCUGCUUCCUGUGUCUCCAACCCAGCGGCCAGCGAGAAUAUAGUGGUAUGACUCCCCUAUCUAUGGCUCCGUGGGUGUUCCUUUUUGGCCUCACCAUAUCCUGCAUUCUUAUGUGGGGAGCGGGACCAGAGACCCCGCAUGACACCCUGCUUGGGACCUGCCUCUAAUUUGGAGACUUGGCCGGCGUGAGUGAAGCCUCCUCCUUUGUGCUCAGCAACUGCAGAAGCUGGUGAGUAUGCACUUCUCCUGCUCCUUUCUGUCUGUGGCCCUUGCCUGGGCCUCAGAAGCCAGUUACCUAGUGUCCCCUUGGAGGGCAAGGCCUGCACUGAGGACUGCCUCUGCUUAGGGAAGACUGGGCAUCUACUCAGGGGGCUGGCUGGAAGGCAAGUU